rnacentral:lncRNA from 1 species
CUUCUAUCUACACGAGAUUGGAAACCAAAAUAUUCAAAGGGAUCUCAUGGAUCAGUCUUUUCCAUAUACCCAGGUUCCUUAAUUCCAUAUUCUCGUUCAUAAAUCAUUUUUCUGCAAUAAUAAUAUGGCGGACUAAUAGUGAGAGACAUGAUUGUUAUAGAUGUGGUGAGAGCAUUUACUUAUAUUCUGCCAUGUCUCAUUGUUAAGAUAAAUGCUUGGUCACCCAUCAUCAUCUAUUGGGUAGAGCGUAUUAAGCCUCUUGAUGUGAAAAUUGCUACUGAUAUUUCAGAAGAUGAUUACAGAUAAGUACAUCGUUACACAAUAUAAUAUGUGUAUAUCUACUUCGUUAUACGGGUUAUACGGGUCAUCAAUGGAAUUCCCGUUAUUUGGACGCAUUUUGACGUUAUAAUAGCAUAUAAGUACAACAUUGGCUCCACGAGAACAUUAGUUUUUUAGCCAAAAAAAUAUUAUACAAUUGAGUUGGGAAAGAAACAUUGGAUGCUGAUGGGCUUUAUCUCAAAACCAUAUAGGAAUCAUAGACACCCAAUUUCUUAUUGAUGAAAAAUUGGAUACAUGGAUGAAGCAUCAAUUUUACCAAGAGAAAAACAUGAUUCAAAUGUUAUUUAAAAAAUUCAGCAAUGAAGUGAUGCAUAAAUCAACGGGGUUCCUUCCUCUUCAGCUCCGAACAAAAAAUUAGCAAACUGUGAUUUGUGAUCCUCAACGGGCCAUGUUAUCAUCGAUAUCAUACUCUAUUUCAUAGAACCAUCGUGUUAUCAAUUUUUAUCUCAACAGAUAUCAUCUCACAAAGUUUUGCAGAUUUACAACCACUAGGCACGAGGAGUCCAAUCUUCGUAUCGCAAGUUAUGAUCACAUUACUGGAAUCCAUAUCUACAAGCACACAAAAAACAGAAAAGGUAUAACAAAUUGGGGAUAAACAAAUGGUGAUCACUCACAAAUAUGUAGUUCAUCAAUGGGUCAAAUUCAAAGAUGCAAUCCUCGAAAUAACGAAAUACCAAAAAACGAAAAAAGGAAAAAAGAGCAACAUCAUUUCUCAUAAUUAAUGAAUCCACU